rnacentral:rRNA from 1 species
GAUGAACGCUGGCGGCGUGCCUAAUACAUGCAAGUCGAGCGAACGGACGAGAAGCUUGCUUCUCUGAUGUUAGCGGCGGACGGGUGAGUAACACGUGGAUAACCUACCUAUAAGACUGGGAUAACUUCGGGAAACCGGAGCUCAUACCGGAUGAUAUUUUGAACCGCAUGGUUCAAAAGUGAAAGACGGUCUUGCUGUCACUUAUAGGUGGAUCCGCGCUGCAUUAGCUAGUUGGUAAGGUAACGGCUUACCAAGGCAACGAUGCAUAGCCGACCUGAGAGGGUGAUCGGCCACACUGGAACUGAGACACGGUCCAGACUCCUACGGGAGGCAGCAGUAGGGAAUCUUCCGCAAUGGGCGAAAGCCUGACGGAGCAACGCCGCGUGAGUGAUGAAGGUCUUCGGAUCGUAAAACUCUGUUAUUAGGGAAGAACAUAUGUGUAAGUAACUGUGCACAUCUUGACGGUACCUAAUCAGAAAGCCACGGCUAACUACGUG